CUAAUAAGCGAUUUAAGAGGACAAACUCAUGGACUUUGAAACGUCCCUGGCUGUGGGGAUGGCAGACUUCAUUUUCAAAAUGUCCCAAAAUGCUAUGGCUUCCUGGGAUAAUUCUGAUGACUUCAACUGUGUCUUCAAGAGUAGCUAUGGCAAGCUGGCUGGACAGGUUCGAGACUCCUGGAAGGAGGA